rnacentral:rRNA from 1 species
UACGUAGGGUGCAAGCGUUAAUCGGAAUUACUGGGCGUAAAGCGUGCGCAGGCGGUUGUGCAAGACAGAUGUGAAAUCCCCGGGCUCAACCUGGGAACUGCAUUUGUGACUGCACGGCUGGAGUGCGGCAGAGGGGGAUGGAAUUCCGCGUGUAGCAGUGAAAUGCGUAAAUAUGCGGAGGAACACCGAUGGCGAAGGCAAUCCCCUGGGCCUGCACUGACGCUCAUGCACGAAAGCGUGGGGAGCAAACAGG